GACGAACGCUGGCGGCGUGCUUAACACAUGCAAGUCGAACGGUAAGGCCCUUCGGGGUACACGAGUGGCGAACGGGUGAGUAACACGUGGGUGAUCUGCCCUGCACUUCGGGAUAAGCCUGGGAAACUGGGUCUAAUACCGGAUAGGACUCCGGACUGCAUGGUCUGGGGUGGAAAGCUUUUGCGGUGUGGGAUGGGCCCGCGGCCUAUCAGCUUGUUGGUGGGGUGAUGGCCUACCAAGGCGGCGACGGGUAGCCGGCCUGAGAGGGGGACCGGCCACACUGGGACUGAGAUACGGCCCAGACUCCUACGGGAGGCAGCAGUGGGGAAUAUUGCACAAUGGGCGCAAGCCUGAUGCAGCGACGCCGCGUGAGGGAUGACGGCCUUCGGGUUGUAAACCUCUUUCAGCAUCGACGAAGCGAAAGUGACGGUAGGUGCAGAAGAAGGACCGGCCAACUACGUGCCAGCAGCCGCGGUAA
rnacentral:rRNA from 1 species